rnacentral:lncRNA from 10 species
AUAAGAUAAUAAGAUAAAGGGCUUCUUUUGAGGUUUUUUUUUUUUUUUUUUUUUUCAGAUUUCAGAAACUUUUCUUUAUAUGUCUUUAAUUAUUAAUUUAAUUAUAAUUUCUAGUCUAUUCAUUCAGUUUCAUUCUCAAGGCUGCCAAUUAUUCAUAGCUUCAUAUUCUAUUUCCCAUAUCUAUCAUCUUAUUUCUUAUAUUUUUUCCUUCAUUAUAUAAAACAUUCUGCCCUAACUGUCCCCAGUGUGGAUCUUCAUUCCGCAAUGGAGUUUAAUUUCUAUGACUUCUUUUCUUAAUAUUGGCAGUUUUUUUUAUCUUUAUCAGCUUCCUUUUUAAAUACUCUUUUACAGAUAACCUUUUUAUCUUUUAAUAACUCAAAGCAGGUGCAUUCUUAAUUUCCUUCUUUUACCAUGAUGAACUUUCACGCAUAUUUUUUAACAGUACUUUGUAGCAGUGGGUCCCUACUUUUAUGUUAUAUGGAGCUUUUUAAAGGAUUUCAUUUGGUGUUUUUUUCCUUGUUUAUGCAUCUUUGAACAAGGAGAAAUUUUAACCACAUCUGGUGAUUGCCAGAUAGGAAAAGCAGUCAUCCCUUUACUCCUACCCAGUGUCCCUGUCUCAAGCCUUUGACUGAAUAUGGAUGAACAUAGCCCCUCUAGAUGUUUGUCUGAGAGACUUCAUGAGACCUGGUCUUAAUGUCAGACCGUUACUAGAAAUUGCAUUGAUCUCUAGAUAACGAUCCUAUACACGUCUUUUUAUGUGCACCCAGAGUAUUUCUCUAGAUAGAUAAAUAGAUAGAUCUAUAGAUAGUUCUGUAUAUCAAUAUAGCUAUAUUAAUAUUGGUAUAUCUAUAGAUCUAGGUAGAUAGAUAUGUGACAGAUAGAAUCUAGAUCUAUCUGUGUGUCUGUGCAUCUAUGUGUAAGUAUAAAAAACCUGUAUAUUGAACAAGCAUGAUUUAUGAUGUACUAAAAAGACAACAGUCCCACACUAUUCCUUUGGUUUGGUGUUUUGUUUUUUCCUAUUUAAUGUAAACUUUUAAAUUGAAAUAUAAUAUACAGAGAAAAGUUUACAAAUCUUAAAUAUGCACCUUGAAUUUUUACGUAGUAUCCUUGUACCCAACAAUAAGAUGAAAACUAAAACAUUAUCAGCACUUCAGCCACCCUCUUUGUGCCUCUUUCCAAUAAUUUAUUGUUCUCAAAAGUAAUUACUACUCUGCCUUAUAUCACCACAGAUUAGUUUUACCUAUUUUUGAACGUUAUAUAAAUGGAAUUAUAUUUUAUGUAUCCUUUUGUGUCUAGCUUCCUUUGUUCCAGAUUAUGUUUUUGAGAUCCGUUCAUGUUAUAAACGGCCAGAAAUGUUCAUUCUCAUUGCUCUAUAGUAUUUCACUCUAUGAAUAUGUCACAAUUUAUUUACCUUUCUUCCUGUUGGUAUACAUUUGGUUUGUAUAAACGUGUCUUUUGGCGCAUAUAUACUGAGUUUUAAAGUAUGUUUAUAUACAACUCUGGCAGCUUUUGCCAAACAGUUUUCUAAGCAGUGCAUGAAAGCUUCACUUGCUCCAAAUCCGAACUUUUAGUAUUGUCAAUUUUUUAAAAUGUAUCCAU